rnacentral:rRNA from 1 species
GACGAACGCUGGCGGCGUGCUUAACACAUGCAAGUCGAACGGAAAGGCCCUGCUUUUGUGGGGUGCUCGAGUGGCGAACGGGUGAGUAACACGUGAGUAACCUGCCCUUGACUUUGGGAUAACUUCAGGAAACUGGGGCUAAUACCGGAUAGGAGCUCCUGCUGCAUGGUGGGGGUUGGAAAGUUUCGGCGGUUGGGGAUGGACUCGCGGCUUAUCAGCUUGUUGGUGGGGUAGUGGCUUACCAAGGCUUUGACGGGUAGCCGGCCUGGGAGGGUGACCGGCCACAUUGGGACUGAGAUAGGGCCCAGACUCCUACGGGAGGCAGCAGUGGGGAAUAUUGCACAAUGGGCGGAAGCCUGAUGCAGCAACGCCGCGUGCGGGAUGACGGCCUUCGGGUUGUAAACCGCUUUCGCCUGUGACGAAGCGUGAGUGACGGUAAUGGGUAAAGAAGCACCGGCUAACUACGUG